GGCUCUGUAGUGAAAUUCAUGAUGAGUUGCAAGCUCAUUGAUGUACAUUAAGAGUGUACCAGAGUCU
rnacentral:tRNA from 1 species